rnacentral:rRNA from 1 species
AGAGUUUGAUCCUGGCUCAGGAUGAACGCUAGCGGCAGGCUUAAUACAUGCAAGUCGAGGGGCAGCACGGGUAGCAAUACCUGGUGGCGACCGGCAAACGGGUGCGGAACACGUACACAACCUUCCCUUGAGGCGGGGGAUAGCCCAGAGAAAUUUGGAUUAAUACCCCAUAAGAUAUUGUCCCGGCAUCGGGAAGAUAUUAAAGAUUUAUCACCUUAGGAUGGGUGUGCGUAUGAUUAGGUAGUUGGUGCGGGUAACGGCCCACCAAGCCAUCGAUCAUUAACUGGUGUGAGAGCACGACCAGUCACACGGGCACUGAGACACGGGCCCGACUCCUACGGGAGGCAGCAGUAAGGAAUAUUGGUCAAUGGACGGAAGUCUGAACCAGCCAUGCCGCGUGAAGGAUGACGGCCCUCUGGGUUGUAAACUUCUUUUAUCUGGGACGAAAAAGGGCCAUUCUUGGUCAACUGACGGUACCAGAGGAAUAAGCACCGGCUAACUCCGUGCCAGCAGCCGCGGUAAUACGGAGGGUGCAAGCGUUAUCCGGAUUUACUGGGUUUAAAGGGAGCGCAGGCGGAUUGGUAAGUCAGUGGUGAAAUACCCGUGCUUAACAUGGGAACUGCCAUUGAUACUAUCAGUCUUGAAUGUUGUUGAGGUUUGCGGAAUGGGUCAUGUAGCGGUGAAAUGCAUAGAUAUGACCCGGAACACCUAUUGCGAAGGC